AUUUUCUUCUAGUUAAACUAGUUACAGUUACCUUCUGAGUGCAAGCGGCUUGGUGUGGGUCUGUGAACCUGCAGGAGCUGAUUCCUGGUAACCCCUUCCUGCAGCUCUAACUAGAUGCGUUCUGUCCGAAUCACAGCAAGAAGUGUUAAACUGACCAGAAAAAAAAUCUAUACGGACAACACAGGACACAGUGAAGGUUUUUUUAAAAAAGUUAGUUUUAUAUAGACUGCAGGACGUUCUGUGAGACUUUUUUAUAACGGUAUUUUAGAAAAAGUGUUGCUGUGUGUUUAUUUCAUUUUUUUUUUUUUAGUUGUCUUUUUUUUCCCUUUAAAAUGUACACCCUCCCAGAUGUGAUAUUUACAGAAUUAAAGAAGGAUUUUCUUUCUCA